GGGGUGCACGUGGGGUCCACUUGCUUUCCAAUCCCUGACCGACUUCAGAUGUGAUUCUUAUGAUGAAGCGAUCACUCGAAGUUUAAACGAGAGAACCUCCAAUUCCAAACACGCGUUUCACAAUCACACGGUCUCUCUCGCUUUGGCAUCUCAUCUCCUCCAUUCGAACGUUCUUCGUUUCCUCUCCUCUUCUCCCGCUAACUUCAGAAGCAAGACAACGAUGCCUUCAGUUCUGAAUGAAGCGUCCUUCGGAGUUUCUAGAUACUUCAGCGGACCAUCCCCGCUGAAGCCGCCGAGAAAUGGAAAGCGUUAUCCGCAGGACUGCCUCCGACCUCGAUUCCUCGAAAAUUUUUGCGAUUCGGAUGUUUCCAGGAUCUGCCGUUUUCCUUCUCUCGCCAGAGCCUUGCAGAAGCGAUUAGGCUCUACGGUUGUCGCCACUUGAAGAGUCCAUAGGCUUACCGUUUCGUCGCGGAAGACGUUGAAAGGUUGAUUUUAUUGUUGAUUCUCUGGAAUCUUGUAGGCAUAGAAUGAUGUUCUCUUGGGAAUUUUUCAGUGAGGCUAGCAAACAUCAGUGAGGAUGAAUGACCAUCUGCCUGUGAGGUUUACAGUAUGUCAUUCGUAAAGUGUAGAAGUUAAGUUGAAGAGGGAUGUUGGAAGAUCAGUCUGUGCGGGGAAUGUAAAACUAAAGAAUUCCAAAAGAUACUGGAAUGCAAACCUUAUGCUGAAUUUCUUGGGAAUUUAAAUAUGGCUUCUUCACGGCUUCUUCACCUGGUGUUGUGAAGUUUAUGCAUGACAUGAGCAGUAUCAUCAGGCGCAAGGCGUAUCAGAACCUGAAUGGCAUUCGACUUAGCUCUUCAAACCUCUUUUGAGUGAGUGAAAUACUGCAACUUUGACAUUUCAUAUUCUCCUUUCCCUUUUUCUUUUUGGUGCUGUGGUUGGUUGGUGUCCAAGGGGGCAUCAUCACACCUCUCGUCUUUUUUAAAAUCCAUUUAAAUUGCUCUCUGCAUUUUUUUGAAUACAUUUAAACAUUCAAUGACCGCUGCAGGAAAAUUAGUAAAAGAUGAGCUGAUGUUUGUGAAAUAUCAGUAGUGUGAAAAGGUUAGAUUAAUAAGGGUUCGUUAAUUGUCCACAGAAAUAUAAUCGGUAGAGGCCAUCAUACUUUUUAUUUUGUUUUCUUAUGGUGAGAGGGUCAUGUAGGUGUAGGCAAUUACACAAUUUUUGUGUGUCUAGUAGCAUGAGUGUCAUGCCUGUUUACAUCAGAAUUGGGUAGUAUACUUGUUUCUUACUGGCAUAACAUUAGUGGUUUCAUGGAUUUUCACAAACCAUUAUUUCUGACAAUUUGUUUUUGGGGUGGACUGUUCAGUCCACGUCCCCAUGGCUUUCUUCCAUUAAAUUUGAGUGUUCUUUUCUUUGGUCCU